GAUGAACGCUGGCGGCGUGCCUAAUACAUGCAAGUCGAGCGAACAGAUGAGGAGCUUGCUCCUCUGACGUUUGCGGCGGACGGGUGAGUAACACGUGGAUAACCUACCUAUAAGACUGGGAUAACUUCGGGAAACCGGAGCUAAUACCGGAUAAUAUAUUGAACCGCAUGGUUCAAUAGUGAAAGACGGUUUUGCUGUCACUUAUAGAUGGAUCCGCGCCGCAUUAGCUAGUUGGUAAGGUAACGGCUUACCAAGGCAACGAUGCGUAGCCGACCUGAGAGGGUGAUCGGCCCCACUGGAACUGAGCCACGGUCCAGACUCCUACGGGAGGCAGCAGUAGGGAAUCUUCCGCAAUGGGCGAAAGCCUGACGGAGCAACGCCGCGUGAGUGAUGAAGGUCUUCGGAUCGUAAAACUCUGUUAUUAGGGAAGAACAAAUGUGUAAGUAACUAUGCACGUCUUGACGGUACCUAAUCAGAAAGCCACGGCUAACUACGUG
rnacentral:rRNA from 1 species